rnacentral:rRNA from 1 species
AUUGAACGCUGGCGGCAUGCUUUACACAUGCAAGUCGAACGGCAGCACGGGUGCUUGCACCUGGUGGCGAGUGGCGGACGGGUGAGUAAUACAUCGGAACGUAUCCAGAAGAGGGGGAUAACGCAUCGAAAGAUGUGCUAAUACCGCAUAUUCUCUGAGGAGGAAAGCAGGGGAUCGAAAGACCUUGCGCUUUGGGAGCGGCCGAUGUCUGAUUAGCUAGUUGGUGGGGUAAAGGCCUACCAAGGCGACGAUCAGUAGUUGGUCUGAGAGGACGACCAGCCACACUGGGACUGAGACACGGCCCAGACUCCUACGGGAGGCAGCAGUGGGGAAUUUUGGACAAUGGGCGCAAGCCUGAUCCAGCAAUGCCGCGUGAGUGAAGAAGGCCUCGGUUG